rnacentral:rRNA from 1 species
UACAGAGGUCUCAAGCGUUGUUCGGAUUCAUUGGGCGUAAAGGGUGCGUAGGCGGCGCGGUAAGUCGGGUGUGAAAUCUUGGAGCUUAACUCCGAAACUGCAUUCGAUACUGCCGUGCUUGAGGACUGGAGAGGAGACUGGAAUUUACGGUGUAGCGGUGAAAUGCGUAGAUAUCGUAAGGAAGACCAGUGGCGAAGGCGGGUCUCUGGGCCGAAAUUGACGCUGAGGAGCGAAAGCGUGGGGAGCAAACAGG